AACGAACGCUGGCGGCAUGCCUAACACAUGCAAGUCGUACGAGACCUUCGGGUCUAGUGACGCACGGGUGCGUAACGCGUGGGAACCUGCCCUUAGGUUCGGAAUAACUCCCCGAAAGGGGUGCUAAUACCGGAUAAUGUCUUCGGACCAAAGAUUUAUCGCCUUUGGAUGGGCCCGCGUUGGAUUAGCUAGUUGGUAGGGUAAAAGCCUACCAAGGCGACGAUCCAUAGCUGGUCUGAGAGGAUGAUCAGCCACACUGGGACUGAGACACGGCCCAGACUCCUACGGGAGGCAGCAGUGGGGAAUAUUGGACAAUGGGCGAAAGCCUGAUCCAGCAAUGCCGCGUGAGUGAUGAAGGCCUUAGGGUUGUAAAGCUCUUUUACCCGGGAUGAUAAUGACAGUACCGGGAGAAUAAGCUCCGGCUAACUCCGUG
rnacentral:rRNA from 1 species